UCAGGCACGUCAGGGCGACGCUGCGGAGCCCCGCGGGACCUUUCUUUGUGGCAGCGCUGGGAGGGGUCCCCGGUGCUGCUGCUGAGCGGGCGCAGGUGCCUCAGGGGCUGCGCUGUGUGAACUUCCUGCACCGCAGGAGCCGCCCGAGGACCCCAGAAUGCCUCGGAAGCGAAGCGAGGAAAUGAGGCCUGAGGUGGCUGGGGGACAAAUACAGGGUGGGAGAGAGAGGCCAAUUAAAGUGGAUUUCAUGGAAGACCCCCGGAGAUCAGCCAUUAACCCAUUAAUCACAGGUGAUAAUAUGUCCCAGUCCAGCAGCAGAUAUGGUUACCCAGAACUGAAAAGGAAUGAAUUGUAUGUGUACUUUCGGUGGGUGAAUUGGAUGUUCUAGGCCCUGCAACUGUCCUGAUGCUGAUUUAAAGACACUGAAUGUAUUCUGUGUCCCUGAAGGUACUAUUACAGAGACCUCUACGUGUUUCUAAGACAAGAGAAAACGAAUGUGUCUCCAGCAAAGUUCCAGAGAGGCAGAGGCAGAAAGAGAGAGAAAGGUCCUCCAUCCCUCAGUUCACUCCUGAGAUGGCCGCAACAGCUAAAGCUGCGCUAAUCCGAAGAUAGGAGCCAAGAGCUUCUUCCAGGCUUGCCACACAGGUGCAGGUGCCCGAGGAGUUGGGCCACCUUCUACUGCUUUCCCAGGCCACAGCAGAGAGCUGGCUCAGCAGUGGAGCAGCUGGGACUUGAACUGAUGCCCAUGUGAGAUGCCAAAACUGCAGGCAGCGGCUUUACCUCCUAUUCCACAGUGCCAGCCCCUUCUGAAGGCUGGGAAGUUCAAGGCCAAGAAUCCCCAUCUGGAGAGGGCCAUGUCCUGCAUCCUAACAUGACAGAAGUCAUUACACGAUAUUAAAAGAAGAAGACAGAAAGAGCUGCUAUCAGCUGACUCGCUCCCAAAAUGCCUGCAGAGGUUGGGACUUUGCUGGAACAGCCUGGAGCCAGAAAGUUGAUCUGUAUCACCUCUGCUUGGCCAACACUGGCGUCAUCAACCCUGCCUGCAGUAGCAGCAGGAAGCUAGAGUCAAGGCCCCAGUGUGGGAAUAAAACCCUGGGCACUUUAAUGUGCAAUAUGGGCAUUUUAGUUGCUAUGCUAAAUGCCCACUCCUAUCUGAUUACUUUUAUGUUAUUUUUAUUGCUAAAUCAUCAUAAUCAGAGUCAUUUUCAGUAGAUCGUCUGGGUCAUGUAGCUAUAAUUUAUAAGCAAAUAAUACUCAUUUUCAUCUACUUUUCUCUUGAAUUGACUAGCACCUCUUAUCUUAAUUGUGAUGAUGGAGCAUCCUUAUCUUCCAGUGUUUCCCCUUUAACUCUGUUUCUACCUUUAGGCUAAAAUGUAUAUAGUUUAUAAUGCAUCAAAGAAUGUAUUAAGGGCAGUCAUUGUGGUGCAAUGGCUUAAACUGGUGCUUGGGAUUCCCACAUCUAUUAUCAGAAUGCCUGGCUUGAACCCUAGCUACUGUGCUUCUGAUCCAGUGCCCUCCCAAUGCAUCCUGGGAAGUAUCAGAUGAUGGUUCAAAUGCUUGGAUUCCUGGCUUUUGCCUGGCAUAGAACCUUGCUGUUGCAGCCAUCUGGGGAGUGAAGCAGUGUAUGUAAAAUCUUUCUCUCUCCCUGCUAUUCUGACUUAGAAAUGGUUAAAAAUGAAUUUAAUUGUAAGAAGAAUAUACUUAUAUCUCUAACUGAGAAUCUGUUUUAUAAUUGCAAAUAUUUUAAAAUAUACUUUUGCAAUGUCUGGAUUAUCACAGAAUUUUCUUUCCAUCGUCCCAUGACUAUGAUGAAAUAUACUAAAGUAAUUUAAGAAGGUUGUGGGGCAUAGAAUUAAAAUAUAAGUUCAUUUUGGUGUUGGAAAUUUUGAACUCAUAGAUACUUAUAUUAAUAGAUUUUGUAAUCUUGAGCUUUUUCUUAUUCCUGGAAUACUUUGAAAUUCAUUCUGCUUUGUCUGGUUCUACUAGGAUUUCCUUCCCUUCCUCUUGCAGUAAAUGGUAGUGUUUCCUCGGAUUCUGCACCCAUUCCUUUUCUGCCUUCUAUCUCUUAGCUCUUCUUACUACAUUCACUCUGUUGGCUUAAGGCUUAACAGAAGUUCUGCUACUUCCAAAAUCUUUAUCUGCAGUUUACAGCUCUCUCUGAGCUCUAGUUUAUAUGACUGGACAUAGCCACAUAUUUGAAAUUUCAAACACAUUGUGUCCACCAUCAGUCUCGCUUCAUCUCAUCAUACUCUUUUUCCUUUUUUUCAGUUACAGUUUAUAGUACCUGUGUCUACCUACACCUCAUGCACAUAGUAUCAAAUUAAAUUCCACUGUCUACCCUGUACACAACAAAUUAGAAAUGAAUUUUGUUCUUGCUUUUUCUUUUACUUUUUUCUUUUUCACAAUGAAUGUCUUCAUCAGUAUUAUUGCUCUGUGUCCUGAUGGUCAGUGGUCAAGUCCUACUCUAACUUCUUCCCCUCUGUCCCUCUGGUUCUUUCUCAUUCUUCCUCUGGGGUAUAACUUAAAAAUGCAAAUUGCUAAAUAGCUUCUAGUUUUUAUUGAUUUAUCAUAAUUUAUGCCUUGGGUUUUAUGAAGCAGGCAAUCGUUUUCAUGGGAACAUUAGCAAUUGUGUUGGUUUUUGAAGGCAAUAUAUGGAUGCUUAAGAACACUUUAUAAGCAGUUUUCACAAUUACUUAGCGGAGCACAUUUUUAUUGUUGGAAUCAGGCCAACUCUGUAAGUAAAGAAUCAUUAAGUUGUCAGUUCCUGGAGCAUGUUUACUGCCUCAUCUCCUUACAGCCAGGAGCACUCACUAGAGGUGAUGUUUGUAGUUCCAUUUCACUUGGUCUCUGUUCUUGUGCUUUUGCAAUGUGACGUCUGUAUUCUCACAUUCAUGAGCACACACUGAGAACCAUCUUCAGCUUUUCAGUGAAGUGUGACCUGAUGAAACACUUUGCAUUUAAAUCUAGGAUGAGUUUGUCUCAAUAGAUCUAAUAUGUGAUUUCAGUUAUGUGUUAAUACUGAUGUGUACAGACUACACUGUGAUCUUACAGAAUCAGAAGUCCAUCCUUCCUAACCUUACCAGGAAGGUCAGUUGUGGAUAUAUAAGGGAAACUGUCAUAGUAGUUUUGCGACUACAAAAUGGCUACAGAAGCAAGGAAUUUUCCUUGUAAUUUUUUGUUGUUGUUGACAUAUGGAGUACAAAAUAAGCUUCAUCUUCUGUAAGACAUAUAAGACACACAGAGAUUGCACACCCU